rnacentral:rRNA from 1 species
UACGUGCCAGCAGCCGCGGUAAUACGUAGGUGGCAAGCGUUGUCCGGAAUUAUUGGGCGUAAAGGGCUCGCAGGCGGUUUCUUAAGUCUGAUGUGAAAGCCCCCGGCUCAACCGGGGAGGGUCAUUGGAAACUGGGAAACUUGAGUGCAGAAGAGGAGAGUGGAAUUCCACGUGUAGCGGUGAAAUGCGUAGAGAUGUGGAGGAACACCAGUGGYGAAGGCGACUCUCUGGUCUGUAACUGACGCUGAGGAGCGAAAGCGUGGGGAGCGAACAGGAUUAGAUACCCUGGUAGUCCACGCCGUAAACGAUGAGUGCUAAGUGUUAGGGGGUUUCCGCCCCUUAGYGCUGCAGCUAACGCAUUAAGCACUCCGCYUGGGGAGUACGGUCGCAAGACUGAAAYUCAAAGGAAUUGACGGGGGCCCGCACAAGCGGUGGMGCAUGUGGUUUAAUUCGAAGCAACGCGAAGAACCUUACCAGGUCUUGACAUCCUCUGACAACCCUAGAGAUAGGGCUUUCCCUUCGGGGACMGAGYGACAGGUGGUGCAUGGUUKUYGUCAGCUCGUGUCGUGAGAUGKUGGGUUAAGUCCCGCAMCGAGCGCAACCCUUGAUCUUAGUUGCCAGCAUUCAGUUGGGCACUYUAAGGUGACUGCCGGUGACAAACCGGAGGAAGGUGGGGAUGACGUCAAAUCAUCAUGCCCCUUAUGACCUGGGCUACACACGUGYUACAAUGGACAGAACAAAGGGCUGCGAGACCGCAAGGUUUAGCCAAUCCCACAAAUCUGUUCUCAGUUCGGAUYGCAGUCUGCAACUUGACUGCGUGAAGCUGGAAUCGCUAGUAAUCGCGGAUCAGCAUGCCGCGGUGAAYACKUUCCCGGGCCUUGUACACACCGCCCGUCACACCWCGAGAGUUUGCAWCACCSGA